GACGAACGCUGGCGGCGUGCUUAACACAUGCAAGUCGAACGGAAAGGCCCUGCUUUUGCGGGGUGCUCGAGUGGCGAACGGGUGAGUAACACGUGAGUAACCUGCCCUUGACUGUGUGAUAACUUCAGGAAACUGGGGCUAAUACCGGAUAGGAGCUCCUGCUGCAUGGGGGGGGUUGGAAAGUUUCGGCGGUUGGGGCUGGACUCGCGGCUUAUCAGCUUGUUGGUGGGGUAGUGGCUUACCAAGGCUUUGACGGGUAGCCGGCCUGGGAGGGUGACCGGCGACAUUGGGCCUGAGAUACGGCCCAGAAGCGUACGGGAGGCAGCGGUGGGGAAUCUUGCACAACGGGCGGACGCCAGAUGCGGAGAUGCCGCGUGCGGGAUGCCGGGUUUCGGGUUGUAAACCGCUUUCGCAUGUGACGAGGCGUGAGUGACGGUAAUGGGUAAAGAAGCACCGGCUAACUACGUG
rnacentral:rRNA from 1 species